ACCCUCUAGUCGACCAAAUUAUCAACCCUAACCCACGCCUCUCUCUUCCUCACUCUCAUCUCACGUUUCUCUCUCUUCCUCGCUCUCAUCUCACAUUUUGGUGCUCUCUCUUUCUUGUAGAUCUCACGAAAUCAGUAUGCAAUAGCAAUGUUGGGCUAUGGUCCUGAAGAUAAAAGUGCUGUUAUGGAGUUGACAUAUCCAUGCCAUUCUUACUUCUGUUCUGAAAUUCAGGUAUUCAUGCCAUGCACUUAAAUAAGUACCAAGUUUUCAGGGGUUAUGAGAUUUGCGUUUGAGUUCCAGAUUUGAAGUUGGUUUCGAUCCAGAUACCAGAUUUAAAGUCCAUUUUGUUUCAGAUUUUUGUUGUGGAGUUUAGUGUACAUGUAAUUAUAUGAGAUAUGUAUUAGAUUUUGUUCCAAGUAUACUAGAAUUUAGUUCUAGAAUUAUUUUUUCACUUGUAUCUACAUUUAUUAUCAAUAAUAAUUGAAUUGAUUAA